rnacentral:rRNA from 1 species
AAGGGUUUGAUCCUGGCUCAGAUUGAACGCUGGCGGCAGGCCUAACACAUGCAAGUCGAGCGGAUGAAGGGAGCUUGCUCCUGGAUUCAGCGGCGGACGGGUGAGUAAUGCCUAGGAAUCUGCCUGGUAGUGGGGGAUAACGUCCGGAAACGGGCGCUAAUACCGCAUACGUCCUGAGGGAGAAAGUGGGGGAUCUUCGGACCUCACGCUAUCAGAUGAGCCUAGGUCGGAUUAGCUAGUUGGUGGGGUAAAGGCCUACCAAGGCGACGAUCCGUAACUGGUCUGAGAGGAUGAUCAGUCACACUGGAACUGAGACACGGUCCAGACUCCUACGGGAGGCAGCAGUGGGGAAUAUUGGACAAUGGGCGAAAGCCUGAUCCAGCCAUGCCGCGUGUGUGAAGAAGGUCUUCGGAUUGUAAAGCACUUUAAGUUGGGAGGAAGGGCAGUAAGUUAAUACCUUGCUGUUUUGACGUUACCAACAGAAUAAGCACCGGCUAACUUCGUGCCAGCAGCCGCGGUAAUACGAAGGGUGCAAGCGUUAAUCGGAAUUACUGGGCGUAAAGCGCGCGUAGGUGGUUCAGCAAGUUGGAUGUGAAAUCCCCGGGCUCAACCUGGGAACUGCAUCCAAAACUACUGAGCUAGAGUACGGUAGAGGGUGGUGGAAUUUCCUGUGUAGCGGUGAAAUGCGUAGAUAUAGGAAGGAACACCAGUGGCGAAGGCGACCACCUGGACUGAUACUGACACUGAGGUGCGAAAGCGUGGGGAGCAAACAGGAUUAGAUACCCUGGUAGUCCACGCCGUAAACGAUGUCGACUAGCCGUUGGGAUCCUUGAGAUCUUAGUGGCGCAGCUAACGCGAUAAGUCGACCGCCUGGGGAGUACGGCCGCAAGGUUAAAACU